CAAAUUGGAGGAGGCUGCUGUCCUACACUACACAUAUGCAAAGUUUUCUGACUUAACCCAGGCGUGAUCGAUGUGGCUGCAAGCUUACAAAAGAAGAUGUGAAAAGAUGCUUUAUGUUGGACUUUGAUAGAUCUGCAUUUAUUAUUGCGAUAAUAAGCCUGGCACUUUGAAGUUCUGUAAAUGGUAAUAAACUUACAUAGAAAUAACAUUGGCAAGAGAAAUAUUCUGCAAACUUAUCUAUCAUAAGUUGCAGGAGUGUAAAAUGAGAUAAGAGAACCCUAUGUCUCUCAAGAUGAUCAUAAGAAACACAAACCCGCUUUCUUCACUCUUCUUUGUCCCAAUCCCUUCACUUGGCUUCCUAAAGCUACACAGCACUCAUAUUGAACCCAAUAUCGAUAUCAGUGAAAGCGAAUACAUCAGCUCGGUACUAAAACCUGCUAUUCCUCUGUGAAAAAUCUAGCAUGUUCCAUCCCAGGUGGCGAUAGAGGAGGGACUGCUGAUUCAGCCCCAAGAAGGUGCCUUGCAGAGAUGCCUUCAGACUUGUUUUCCUUUGCUGGAAGGGAGUCAAA